AGCAGGAUUCAGCAGCAGAAGUAUGAGACGAGAAGGCCCGGCGCGGCGGCCCACGCCUGUAUUUCCAGCACUUUGGGAGGCCGAGGCGGGCGGAUCACGAGGUCAGGAGACAGACCAUCAUGGCUAACAUGGUGAAACCCCGUCUCCACUACGAAUACAAAAAGUUAGCCAGGCGUGGUGGCGGGCACCUGUAAUCCCAGCUUCUCGCCAGGCUGAGGUAGCAGACUGCUUGAACCCGGGAGGUGGAGGUUACACUGAGCUGAGGCUGCGUCACAGACUCCAGCCUGGCAACAGACUACAGCCUGGCAACAGACUGAAACUCCGCCUCAAAAAAAAAAGUGAGACGAGGCGAGGCGAGGCGAGGCGAGGCGUGGCGAGGCGUGGCAUGGCGAGGCGAGGCGAGGCGAGGCCCGACCGUACUGAUCUUAAGUAUUGCUGCUCAUAAAGUAGCACCAAUUCUGCAGCUGAACUCUUACGUUUCUGAGAUCCUCUCUGAUUGGAAGACAAAGUCCAUCUUCCUUAGAAUGUUGUACAGAGACCAUCCACCUUCAGAUGAUCAUGCAACAAAGAUUCCAGCAAGUUCCAGGUGAAGACACCACACCUCACCAUCAAGAAGCUACCUUGUCUCCACUAGACAGAGGAGGAUAAAAUUCAUCCAUUGCCCUGGCUUUAUGUAAUGUUACACUCUUAUGUUUACCUUCAUAUGUCAGUGUCAAUCUUCUUUUGAACAAAGUGCUUCUUCACACAUAAAACGUGAAUACUAAUGUGCAUGUGUUGCCAAAAACCUUCAGAAAAACCUUGUACCACUUCAAUUUGAAUUCCUGGAGAAAUGAGUUGUUGAUUCCCCAUACCAAUUCCAACAAAAAAUGUCAUCUGCUUUAUUUUGUAAUUCA